UACGUAGGUGGCAAGCGUUGUCCGGAAUUAUUGGGCGUAAAGCGCGCGCAGGCGGUCCUUUAAGUCUGAUGUGAAAGCCCACGGCUCAACCGUGGAGGGUCAUUGGAAACUGGGGGACUUGAGUACAGAAGAGGAAAGCGGAAUUCCACGUGUAGCGGUGAAAUGCGUAGAGAUGUGGAGGAACACCAGUGGCGAAGGCGGCUUUCUGGUCUGUACCUGACGCUGAGGCGCGAAGGCUAGGGGAGCGAACGGG
rnacentral:rRNA from 1 species